GCCCAACCACAAACUUAAACAAUACUUCACCAUAUUGUUCGCCAGAGUACUACAAGCGCUAGCUUAAAACCCAAAGGACUUGGCGGUAUCCCACACCCACCUAGAGGAGCCUGUUCUAUAACCGAUAACCCCCGUUCAACCUCACCACUUCUUGCCAUUACCGUCUAUAUACCGCCGUCGUCAGCUCACCCUGUGAAGGGCUAAAAGUAAGCAAAAUGAAUAAAACUUCAAAACGUCAGGUCGAGGUGUAGCAAAUGAAGUGGAAAGAAAUGGGCUACAUUUUUUUAUAAAAACACACGAAUGGUAAACUGAAAAACACCUAAAGGUGGAUUUAGCAGUAAGAAGAGAUUAGAGUGCUCUUCUGAAAUUGGCUCUGGGAUAAGC
rnacentral:rRNA from 1 species